CCAGCUGAUCACCUACUCUUGGGCUCUCCUUGUGGCUUGGGCUUCCUCACAGGAUGGCAGCUGGUUUCCAAAAAAACAGAGCAUCUCAAGAGAACUUGAUGGAAGUACUAUCCUCUUGUAUGUCUUGGCUUCAGGAGUCACAAGACUGACUCAGAUUCCAGGUCAGGGAACACGACCUGCCUCUUCAUUGGAGGAAUGUCAGUGCCAAUUGAAAGAAGAACGUAUGGAGAACUUGUUGCAGCCAUUUUGAAAAAGGUUUUUCUGUGAUGGAGUUUUCAGAUGGAGGGUUUUUUUUUUUUUUUAAGUUUCUCUGUGGUCACAUCUAGUAAUCUUAUUAUUUAUAUAUUUUUCUUUUGUUCUUAUCUAUGAAAGGCCUUAUUAAUAAUAACAGAUUAACUUUA